rnacentral:lncRNA from 1 species
GCAAAUUCUUCAGACUGUCGAAAUGUUUCAGAAUUUGUGAAGUACCAGAAGUAUACGAAGUAUACAGAUUGCUACAGACUGGUCUCCUGUUAACAGAUUAUGUUUUUGCUGAGUUGGUUGCUUAUUUUGAUGAAACUAUGGAUAGUAUCAGGGGGUAUUAUCCAUGUAAGAUUGAAAAUACAGUAAUCCAACAUCAACAU